GGCAGUAGCUCAGUGGUAGACUGUCUGCUUUGCAUGUAGAAGUGCCCAGGUUUACUCUCAUCUGAAAUCCUGAAGACCUGUUGCCA